AUGAACGCUGGCGGCGUGGAUAAGGCAUGCAAGUCGGACGAUUUCCUUUUUGAAGAAGAUGCGAUUACAUCAAGUCAACUGAUAUUUUGGAGAUAGUGGCGAACGAGCUAGUAACACCUUGGUACGUACCCAAAAGUUUGGUAUAGCUCGCCGAAAGGCGGGGUGAUCCCAAAUAAUCCCUCUAUCUAUCGGAUAGAAGGGUAAAGUCGCAAGACGCUUUUGGAGCGGCCUAGGACCCGAUCAGUUAGUUGGUGAGGUAAUGGCUCACCAAGACGAUGACCGGUAGGGG
rnacentral:rRNA from 1 species